rnacentral:rRNA from 1 species
GGACGCUUUCGGGGGUUUCGGCCUCCGAGGGAGUGGCGGACGGGUGAGUAGCGCGUGGGAACCUGCCUUGGAGUGGGGGAUAACCGAGGGAAACUUCGGCUAAUACCGCAUACGCCCCGGCGUGAGCCGGGGGAAAGAUUGAUCGCUCCAAGAGGGGCCCGCGUCGGAUUAGGUAGUUGGUGGGGUAACGGCCCACCAAGCCUGUGAUCCGUAGCUGGUCUGAGAGGAUGAUCAGCCACACUGGGACUGAGACACGGCCCAGACUCCUACGGGAGGCAGCAGUGGGGAAUAUUGGACAAUGGGCGCAAGCCUGAUCCAGCAAUGCCGCGUGAGUGAUGAAGGCCUUAGGGUUGUAAAGCUCUUUCGCCCGCGACGAUGAUGACGGUAGCGGGAGAAGAAGCCCCGGCUAACUUCGUG